GGGCAACUGUUUAAAGCAGCUGAGUGAACCCAGCGGCCUUUCUCUGACCCGGGAGAGGGAGCAAAGAAAGAGACUUGGAGAGAAUCAAUCCCUCCCAGGGAUCCCUCCCUCAGCUAAUUUAAGAAAGUCGACAUGAUACCAGGACUGAGAGCCCUGCCUCACUUCCCCUGCCUUCACCUUCUCCAGCCUCCCACGGCCACAUCUCCUACGGGACCCUUCUAGCCCCGGAGCCUGAACUCAGAGCAACAGGAAAAAAAUCAGCAUCCUUAGCCACACGAGCCAGUGUGGUAUGGAAUUAAGUUGCAGCCCCAAACGACGAACCCGUGACCCUGAACUUCUGGGCUCCUGCAAACUCCAGCUGCCUCAAGUCUCAGCACCGCCUGCCCUUGUAGCAUAGAUGCACUCCACGGAGGGGAACAGCGUGCAUCUACUGACAAUGGUAGUUUUCUUCAGCUUCUCUACCCUUCUCUGUUGAGCUGCUUGGACAGUUCAAGGAGUGAGAAUCAUCAGGAACAAACG